GGCCCAGGAAAGACCAAGUGGGCUCUUUGUGUGUUUCAGCUGGACUUCCUGUGCAGCUGUCAAUAAUAUGUUUCCACAGCAUAGUUCCAAAUCUUUCUGCAUGAAUUCAGUGGAUACUGUGAUUUUUUUACAUGGACUAGCACCUUCCUUUAUUGCAGAGAAGCUAGACAAUUCAGUUAGUAACCUAUUGCCUAGAAAAUUUCAUUUCUUGAUCAAUACACCUGUCAAAAGGUGAUGCUUGUCCAAAUAUGCAGAUUCCUAAUCAUCCCAAGAAAAUUGAACCACUGCAAGACAAGCUGGGAGACAGUUUAGGAUUGUUCUGAGGCAGUGAAAGCCAGUGAAAUUCACAAAAGAAUGGGUAGAAAAUAGAAUCCACAUAUUUUGUACCCUCCAUGUUCUGGGUAUAACAUGUUUCUCAUUAAAUGCACCAUUUUUGGUGUCCGAGAGAACUUGAUAUGAAUUCCAGUUCCAUCACUCAUUGAGAUGUGGUGGUAAAUGUGUUUUUAACUCAUCUGACCCUCAGUGUGCUGAGAGUUGUUAUGAAGCUUCUAUAAGGUAAGUGUGUAAAAAUCUGGACACAAUGCCUAUAAUUUUCUAAGUGUUCAAUAUGCAAAGAAGGAGGAUUAUUUUUCUCUCAUUUAAUUUUUAGAGCAAGUUUAUAAAAUUGAUGAUACUCAUAUUUUUGAGAUAAUCAAACCAAGGAUCAGAAAGACUAAAUAGAUCAUCAUAGUUACAAAGCAGUUCACAAUACAUUUAAUGGGUAAUUUCUAGUUAAAAGUAACAAGGAUGUUCACAUUGAAUGUUCUGUAUUAUGUGGUGCUUUUCUCUUACAUAAGCCUCUUGGUUUUCUGAAACCAUCGAUUCUAAGUUGCUCUAUCAAAGUGAUCAUUAGAAAUUGGGAUGUACAUAAUGUGUAAAAUUUUUUAAAUUUCUUAUUCUUGUUUGAAUAUGUGUGUUAUUUUUAAAAAUGUAAAUCAAAUACAUGUGGAUCGAAUAUAUAUGUAUAUGAAAUAUGAUUUGAUUAAUUAUAGAGUAGGCUUAUGAGAUGGCACCUUCAGAAAUCUGUCUUUUUUCUAGCUUGUAAAAAUCUUAGACAUUAUGGGAUGAGGAGGGGUUCUAUGAAUCCCAGAUAAUGCAUGAGGCAGAUUUGGUUUCAGUAAUUUUAACAUCAUUCAUUGUAAGGUGAUGAUGCCUAGCAACUUUAUCACAGUGAGAAACUUGAAAGUUCCCAGCAGCCAGCAGUGAAUAAAAGGUGAGGCGGGGCCACUGACAGGGCGGGGCCACUGGCAGGGCGAGGCCUUGGAGCCACCUGCCUGUGCUCUCAAGUUCCAAGUUUAGGGGGAGGCAUGUAGGGAAUUCUGGUGGCCUUCAGAGGGUGCCUUCAUUGGUUUUCUUUGUUUAGUGCCCUGAGUUGGUGCUCUUCAGCUGUUGGUCUUCAGUUGGUUUGGCAGUGGUGGAAGGAGAAGGAGCUCCAUCUGUUCUCUUUCCUCCUACAGUCACAGUUCUCAGGCUUGUUGCACCUAGACACACUCUAAAUAAACCAGGCAGGCUCGCUUCUUUUACAGACGAGUCAAUUCAAGGUAGGUGGGUGAAGUAAGGUGCAAGCUGCUAGUGGAAUGCAGCCCUAUGGCCAGGGUUGCCUGUGCCAGUGUGACUUUGCUGGGAAGAGGCAGCAUGUUCAGAGCUCUGCAGACAUAGAAACAAGUGAAGGCCCAAGCUGCCUGAGAACAGAGUUGCCCCAAGGGGACCACCCUGAAGUACCUCAUGUGGACCAAAGGCAGCACCAGGCAAGGCUGAAAUAGGGGUUCUGUGAAGCCAUCCUGGGACUCUGACAUCUAUAAAUGAGUGGCCAGAAAAGGCAGAGACACCAAAAAAGAGGAGCAGAGGUGCCCAGAACAUGCUGUCCCACAUUGCCAGCCCCAGGCAGGGCCAGCUCACAGUGUGGUGAGCAGAACCAUUCUGAUGCUCCAAGAUCUACGAGGUGGAUGUGGCGGGAGCUCCUGACCCGACUGCUUUGGGAGCUGGCCAGGGUCCUGACUUGCAGCACGUUGGUGACCAGAAGACAACCAAAGGUAGGGAGGCAACGAAUACUGCUUGGCUCAUCUGUACGUUAUCUUAUGGUGAUCUAUAAAAAAUUGGAUACAGUGGGAGCUCCUCAGGCCAUUGCUGACUCAAGGUUCCCCCCACAGACAUCCACAGCCUAGAGCUCACCCUCCUGUCCCUAGUUAGCUUUCCUAACCCCAGGCCCCAAGCAGGAGGACUGGCUCUGCCUCAAGUACCUACUCAUUCUUCUUUCUUCCUAUCCCAACACCCAGUUCAGUUUCCUCUUCAUCUUGCCCCAGGCUGCCUCAAUACUAAGUUGUCAAUUUAAAAUGUAAGCUCCAAAAAUCUUUGGAUAGAGUAAAGGUCUGACAGCUUUUCUAGUUAAACUUAAGUAGCAACUGUGAGACUUACAAUUUCAUAUCUUGAAUUCCAGACCAUGCUCCUUUAUCAUAAAGCAAUGUUAGAGGCACUGUUCUUGAUUCUAAUCUUAUAAUGUGAUUUUCUGUAGAGACAUAGUCUCAUUGUAUUGCCCAGGCUACUCUCAAACUCCUGGCCUCAAGUGAACCGCCCACCUUGGUCUCCCACAUUGCUAGGGUGACAGGCAAGAACCACCACACCUGGCCUUUGGAGGUGCUCUUGCUUUCUGUGUUUCGGCUGGUCUUCCUGCACAGCUGUCAGGAAGAUGCUCCUGCAGCAUCGUUCUAAAUCUUUUUACAAAUUCAGUGGAUCCUGGUGACUUUUUUACAUGGAAUAGCCCUGUGUUUGAUAGAAAAGCUAGACAAUUCACAGUUAGUAACCUAGGGCCUAGAAAAUUUCAUUUCUUGAUCAACACAUCUCUUGGCCUAGAAAAUCUCUUUUCUUAAUCAAAGUCUGUUUAUAAGGAGCUAAAUAUGUGGUCUAAAUAUGCAGCUUAGUAAUCGUCCUCCAGAAGAAGGGGACCACUGAAAGGCAACCUGGGAGGGAGUUUAGGAUUGUUCUGAGGCAGUAAAAAAACAAGGAAAUUCACACAAAAAUGGGUAGAGAAAGGGAACCCACGUGCUGUGACUCCUCCAUCUGCUGGGCACAAUUCAUCUUUGUUAUGUUGCACAACUUUGGUGUCAGGAAGAAUGAAAUUGGAAUCCCAACUCAGUCACUCAUUAUGACAUGGUAGGGAAUGUGUUUCUAACUCCAGUGAGCCUCAGUUUGCUCAUCUAUAACGGAUGGGAGUGUUAUCUGACUUCCAUAAGUUAUGUGUAUAAAACUCUGGCCACAAUGCCUGUAAUUUAAAACAUGAGGUGGUUCUGGGCCUUCCAUAAGGUAAGUGUGUAAAAUCUGGGCAUAAUGACUGUAACUUAGAACUUCGGGUUGUUAUGUGGCCUCCGUAAGGUAAGUGUGUGAAAAUCUGGACACGACGUCUAUAAAUUGGUAAGUGUUCCAUAUAUGCAGAAGGAGAAUUAUUUUUCUCUCUAAUUUUUAGAGCAAGUUUAUAAAAUUGUUGUUAUAUUUUGCAGUUAACCAAACUAAGAAUCAGAGAGAUUGAAUGUCACCAUAGUCACAAAGCAGUUCACAAUACAUACUGGGUAAUUGUUAUUUAUUACAGCAAGGAGGAUCACGUUUAAAAUACUGUAUUAUGUGGUGGCUUCUCUUACAUAAGCCUCUUUCUUACAUAAGAAACCAUGAAUUUUAAGUUGUUCCAUGAAAGUGAGCAAUAGAAAAUUGUGAUAAAGCUUAGUGUAUACAUUUUAGAAAAUUUCCUCUAUUAGUCUUAAUUUGCUUGAAUGUGUGUGUUAUUUUCAAAAAAAUGUAAAUUGAAUAUAUAUCUAUUGAAUACAUUUGUGUGUAUGUAUAUGCUUAAAACUUUACAUUAGAGGGUAGCCAUAAGUCAUGGCAAUGUUUCUUUCUGAAAGCACAUGCAGAAAUCUGUCAUUUCUCUAGUUUCUAUGAAGCUUAGAGGUUAUGGGGGAAAGGGGGUUCUAUGAAUCCAAGACACUGCAUGAGGCACAUUUGGUUUCAGUAAUUGUAGCAUCAUUCAUUAUAAGGCAAUGAUCCCUAGGAACCUCAGCACAGUGAGAAACCUGAAAGCACCCAGCAGCCAGCAAUGAGUAAAAUGUGGAGUGGGCUAAUAGCAGGGCAGGGCCUUGGAGCCAUGUGCCUGUGCUCUCAAGUUCCAAGUUUAGGGAGAGGCAUGCAGGGGACUCUCGGCCUGAUUGUUUCCUCUACACCAGGAUGCAGUCUGGAUGGCAGGGCAACUGGCCUUCACCUGGUGGCCUUCACUGGGUGCCCUCAUUGGUUGCCUUGCCUUGGCACCCUCAGCUGGUGGUCUUCAGUUGGUUGCCUUGAGUUGUUGGGCAGCGGCGAAAGGAGCUCCAUCGAUGUUCUCUCCUCCUGCAGUCACAGCACUCAGGCUUGUUGCAUCCAGGCCCAUUCUGAAUAAACCAGGCAGGGUGGUGGCUGUUGCAGAUAAGUCAGUUCUGGGUGACGGGGUGAGCAGGGUGGGGGCUGCUAGUGAUAUGCAGCUCCAUGGCCUGGUGCCACCUAUGAAAGAUAUGCCUAUGCUGGGAAGAGGUGGCAGGUGCUGAGGUCUGCAGACAUGGGGGCCAGUGAAGGCCCAAGCUGCCUGAGAUGUGCUGAGCUGCCCCUUGUGGAUCACGCUGACCACACGCACCAAAGACAGUCCGAGACUUCGCUGGUGCAGGGGUUCAUCGGAGCCAGUCUGGGCUCUGACAUCUGAGUUGGUGGCUAACAAAGAGCCAAGAUCCAGCAGAGAGGAGCAAAGGCACCCGGAACACACUGUACCAAUGCCAGCCCCAAGCGGGGCAGGCUCAGGGUGCAGUGGGAAGAGACGUCCUGACACUCUGAGAUCUACCACGUGAAGGUGGCAGUAUGCAAGACCUCACUGCUUUGGAGCCUGCACAGUUAGAAUUCAGAGCCGGAGAGGGUCCUGCCUUGCAGCAUAUCGGCAACCAGAAGACACCCAAAGGUAGGGAGGCGACAGACACUGCUUGGCCUCAGGAGCUUCUCUGGCCAUUGCUGACCCAAGGUUGCACCUGGAGGCAUCCACAGCAUGGGGCUCCUCUCUCCUUCCCCUAGUUAGCUUUCUUAGGCUCAAGCCACAAGCAAAAGGACUGGGUCUGCCUUGCCUUCCCAGCUGAUCUUGGUUCCCUGCUGGGUUCAUCCAGUUUUCUUCCUCCUUCCUACCCCAAUUCUGAGUUCUGGGACCUCUUCUGCUUCCCCAGGCUGGCCAGACUAAGUUUCCAAACCACAAAAUGAAUGCUACAGAUUUCAUUGCUGUAGAGGUAAUGUUUGACAUUUCUUCUCUUUAAACUUGAAUAACCCUAUAUGGACACACAAUUUUAUAUCUUUAUUUCUGUACUAGCGCUCUGUAUUUUAAAGCAAGAUCAGAGAGGGUCAAAGGUACUCUUCUUUAUUCUAAUCCUUAAAAAAUUGUUUGUAGAGGCAGGGUCUCACUGUGUUCCUCAGGCUGGUCUCAAACUCCUGGUGUCCAGUGAUCCACCCACCUUGGCUUCCCACAUUGCUGAGCAGAUAGGAAAAAACCAGCACACCUGGACUUUGCAGGUGCUCUUGCUUUGCGUGUUUCCACUGCUCCUCCUACCCAGCUAUCAGUGAGAUGCUCCAACAGCAUCAUUCCAAAUCUUUCUGGAAAAAUUUAGUGGAUCCUGUGACAUUUUACAUGUAAUGUUACCUUUGCUUAUUGCAGAUAAACUAGACAAUUCACAGUUAGUAACCUAAGUCCUAGAAAUUUUUGUAUUUUUCUUGAGAUAAAAUUUUGCUCUUACUUCCCAGGAUGGAGUGUAGUGACACUACACUCUGCCUCCUGGAUUCAAGCAAUUCUCCUCCCUUUGCCUUCUGAGUAGCUGGGAUUAGAGGCAUUUGCCAGACUCUCAGCUAAUUUUGUACUUUUUAGUAGAGGUGGAGUUCCACCAUGUUUGUCAGUCUCAUCUUGAACUCCUGCCCUCAGGACAUCUGCCCACCCUGGCUUCCCAAAGUACAGGCGAGAGCCACCAUCCCUGGCCAAAAAUUUCAUUUCUCCAUCAACAAAGCUGUUUCUAAGGAGAUGCUUGUAGUCUAAAUAUGCAGAUUCCUUGUCAUUUCCAGGAGAAAGGGCACCACUGCAAGGCAACCUGGGAGGGAGUUUAGGUUGGUUAUGGGGCCAUGAAAGCCAUUCAAAUUCACACAUAAGAGGGUAGAGAAAGGGAAUCCACAUGUUCCGACUGCCUCCAUGUCCUGAGUAUAACUUGAUCAUUGUUAAGUUGCAGUACCUAUGGCGUCAGGGAGAACUGGAUUUGAAUCCCAGUUCAUCACUCAUUAGCAUGUGAUGGUGAAUGUGCUUUUAACUCCUCUGAACCUCAUUGUACUCAUCUAUAAAAGAUGGGAUUAUUUAGAGGCUUCCAUAAUAUAAAUGUAUAUAAAUUGGUGUGGGCACAAAUGACUGUAAUUUAAAGGGUUGUUUUAAGGAUUCAAUAAGGUAAGUGUGUAAAAAUCUGGACACAGUGCCUAUAAUUUUGUAAGUCUUCAUUAUAAACAGAAGGAGGAUUAUUUUUCUCUCAUUUCAUUUUUAGAGCAAAUUUAUAAAACUGGUGUUGCUCAUAUUUUUGACAUAAUCAAACCAAGGAUCUGAAAGAUUCAAUGAGUCACUAUCGUCACAGAGCAGUUCACAAUCCAUCUACUGGGCAACUGCCUGUGGAAAGUAGCAAUGCUGAUCACAGUUAAAAUCUUGUAUUAAGACAAUGCUUUUCUCUUACGUAAGCCUCUUUAUUUGUUGGAGCCAUCAAUACUAAGUUGCUGUAUAAAGUGCUCAUUAGGAAACUGUGAUAUACAUAGUGGAUAAAUUUAGAAAAUGUCUUCUAUUGCUCUUUUUAAUUUGAUUGAAUAUAUAGGUUUAUUUCAAAAAUGUAAAUGGAAUAUGAAUGGGUUGAAUGCAUAUGUAUAUAUAUGUGAAACAUAAUUAGACAUCACACAGUAGACUUAGCUCCUGGCAAUGUUUUUUCUAAAAGCACCUGCAGAAAUCUGUCAUUUUUGUAGUUAAUUAAAAACUCAGAGGUUACAGGGGAAAGGAGGUUCUAUAAAUUGCAGCUAGUGCAAGAGCCAGAUUUGGCUUCAGGAAUUUUAGCAUGAUUCAUUGUAAGGUGAUAAUCCCUAGGAACUCCAAGACAGUGAGAAACCUGAAAGGUCUUAACAGCUAGGAAUGAAUGAUGAAACGUGGAAUGCAGUGGCUCGCAGGAUGGAGCUCUGUGAACCACCUGCCUGGUCUCUCAAGUUCCAAGUUGGCAGGGACACAUGGAAGGGAUUCUGGGCCUGAUUGUGUCCUCAUAACCAGGAUGCAGUCUGGUUGGCAGGGCAACGCGCCCUCACCUGGUGGCCUUCAGUGGGUGCCUUCAUUGGUUGCCUUUGUUCAGUGCCCUCAGUUGGUGCUCUUCAGUUGUUGGUCUUCAGUUGGUUUGGCAGUGGUGGAAGGUGAAGGAGCUCCAUCUGUGCUCUCUUCCUACCAUCACUGUUCUCAGACUUGUUGCACCUAGGCCCACUCUAAAUAAACCAGGCGGGUUAGCAACUUUUACAGACAGGUCAGCUCAAGGUAGGGGGGUAAGGUAAGUUGUGAGAUUUAAGUGGGAUGCAUCCCUACAUCUGGGGGCUUGCCCGUGCCAGCGUGACUUUGCUGUGAAGAGGCGGCAUGUUCUGAUCUCUGAAGACGUGGAAGCAAGUGAAGGCCUAAGCUGCCUGAGAAGAGCAGAGUUGCCCCAAGGGGACCAUACUUAAGUAUCUCAUGUACACCAAAGGCAGCACCAGGCAGGGCUGAAGCGGGGUUCUAUGAAGCCAUCCUGGGACUCUGACAUCUAUGAGUGAAGGUCAGAAAAGGUGGAGACACCAGCAGAGAAAAAAAGGGGCACCCAGAACAUGUUGUCCCACAAUGCCAGAGUGUGGCGAGCAGAACCAUUCUGAUGCUCCAUUAUCCAUGAUGUGGAGGUGGCAGUAGCACCAGACCCCACUGCUUUGAGGCCUGCCCAGUUGGGUUUGGGAGCUGGCCAGGGUCCUGACUUGCAGCACAUUCCAGACAAGAAGACAACCAAAGGUAGGGAGGCAACGAAUACUGCUUGGCUCAUCUAUGUGUUAUGUUAUGCUCACCUACAAAAGAUUGGAUACAGCAGGAGCUCCUGAGGCCACUGCUGACUCAAGGUUCCCCCCAAAGACAUCCACAGCCUGGGCUCUCUCACCUGUUAGCUUUCCCAGCCCCAGGCCCCAAGCAGGACUGACUGCCUCGAGUCCCACCAAUUCUUUCUUCCUAUGUCAAUGCCCAGUUCUGUUUCCUCUUCAUUUUGCCCAGGCUUCCUGAAAACUGGGUUUUCAAAAUAUAAAAUAUAAGCUAUAGAUUUCAUUGCUGUAGAGAAAGUGUCUGACAGCUUUUCUAGUUAAACUUAAGUGCGACGGUAAGACUCAAAUUCACAUCUCGAAUUCUGCACCAGAUUUCUUUAUCACAAAGCAAUAUUAGAGGCGCUCUUCUUGAGUGCAGUCAUAUAAAAUGAUAUUUUGUAGAGACAGGGUCUCACUGUGUUGCCCAGGCUAGUCUCCAACUCCUGGCCUCAAGUGAUCCAUCCACUUUGGCCUCCCACAUUGCUAGGGUGAAAGGCAGGAGCCACCACCCCUGGCCCUUGGAGGUGCUAUUGCUUUUGUGUGUAUAGCCUGGUCUUCCUGCACAGCUGUCAGUAAGGUGCUCCUGCAGCAUAGUUCUAAAUCUUUCUGCACAAAUUCUGUGGAUCCUGUCAUUUUUUUAAAUCUGGAAUAGCAAUAUAUUUUUUAGAGAAGCUAGACAAUUCACCAUUAGUAACCUAGGGACUAGAAAAUUUUAUUUCAUGAUCAACACAUCUCUUGGCUUAGAAAAUGUCUUUUCUUAAUCAAAGCACCUGUUUAUAAGGAGCUAAAUAUGUGGUCUAAAUAUGCAGCUUAGUAAUCAUCCCCAAGAAAAAGGGAACCACUGCAAGGCAACCUGGGAGGGAGUUUAGGAUUGUUCUGAAGCCAUAAAAACUAAUGAAAUUCACACAUGAAAGGGUGGAGAAAGGGAACCCACGUGUUGUGACUCCCUCCAUAUGCUGGGUACAACUCAGUCUCUGUUACGUUGCAUCACCUUUGCUGUCAGACAGAAUGGAAUUUGCAUCCGGUUUCCAUCACUCAUUAUGAUGUGGUGGGGAAUGAGUUUUUAACUUGGUUGAGCCUCAGUCUGCUCAUCAAUAAAAGAUGGGAGUGUUAUGUGACUUCCAUAAGGUAAGUGUGUAAAAAUCUGGCCAUAAUGCCUGGUAUUUAAAAAACAAAGUUGUUAUGUGGCCUCCAUAAGGUAAGUGUGUAAAAAUCUGGCCAUAAUGACUAUAAUUUAAAAUGUGGAUUUGUUACGUGGCUUCCAUAAGGUAAGUGUGCAAAAACCUGGGCAUAAUGCAUGUAAUUUAAAAGAUGAAAUUGUCACGUGGCCUCCAUAAGGUAAGUGUGUAAAAAUAUGGCCAUAAUGAAUGUAAUUUAAAAUAUGAAGUUGUUACUUGGCUUUCAUAAGGUAAGUGUGUAAAAAUCUGGGUAUAAUGCCUGUAAUUUAAAAGAUGAGGUUAUUAUGUAUCCUCCAUAAGGUAAGUGUGUAAAAAUCUGGGCAUACUGUAUGUAAUUUAAAACAUGGGGUUGUUAUGUGGCUUCCAUAAGGUAAGUGUGUAAGAAUCUGGCCAUAAUGACCAAAAUUUAAAAUGUGGAUUUGUUAUGUGGCUUCCAUAAGGUAAGUGUUUAAAAAUCUGGCCAUAAUGACUGUAAACUGUGAAGUUGUUACGUGACUUCAUAAGGUAAGUGUGUAAAAACAUGGGCAUAAUUACUGUAGUUUAAUAUGUGAAGUUGUUACAUGGCAUCCAUAAGGUAAGUGUGUAGAAACCUGGGUAUAAUGCCUGUAAUUUAAAAGAUGAAGUUGUAACGUGGCCUCCAUAAGGUAAGUGUGUAAAAA